AUUGAACGCUGGCGGCAGGCCUAACACAUGCAAGUCGAACGAGUGGCGGACGGGUGAGAAAUGUCUGGGAAACUGCCCGAUGGAGGGGGAUAACUACUGGAAACGGUAGCUAAUACCGCAUACCCUCGGAUGUGCCCAGAUGGGAUUAGCUGGUGGGUGGGGUAACGGCUCACCUAGGCGACGAUCCCUAGCUGGUCUGAGAGGAUGACCAGCCACACUGGAACUGGGAAACGGUCAAGACGCCUACGGGAGGCAGCAGUGGGGAAUAUUGCACAAUGGGCGAAAGCCUGAUGCAGCCAUGCCGCGUGGAUGAAGAAGGCCUUCGGGUGGUAAAGUACUUUCAGCGGGGAGGCGUUACUCGAAGAAGAAGCACCGGCUAACUCCGUGCCAGCAGCCGCGGUAAUUC
rnacentral:rRNA from 1 species